GUUGUUUUCACAUUCUGGUUUAUAUCAUAUCACAUAUAAAAUUAUUAUUUUAAAUAAAUCGAGUGGUUUUAUGUAAGGACCGACGCCGGAGACGAGAAGCAGGUUCAGUGAGUCAACAUUUAAUGAAGAACAGACAUGAAACAAGACAGGCACAGCGUCAGCAAAUGAGCAAAUCAAUGACAUUUGACAAUUAAUGCAGCAGCGGGGAACAGAGAUGGGUACUUAACAAAUAUAGGGGAGGUAAUAAACAGGUGAUUGAGUCCAGGUGAGGCCGAUAAUAUGCUGAUGCGCAUGAUGGGCAAAGGCAGGUGUGCGUAAUGAUGGUGGAAGGAGUGCGUAAUGCUGCGGAGCCUGGCGCCCUCGAGCGCCAGGGGGAAAGAGCAUGACCAGGCGUGACAGUACCCCACCCUCUAGGGGCGCCACCGGACGUCCCACCUGGGCGAGCGAGAUGGGCCGGCCGAGGCAUGGGCACUGGACAAGCCGGCAGAGGCGUGGGAGUCUGAUGAUCCAGCGGAUGCGUAGCAGCCUGACGAACUGGCUGAGGCGUGGGAGUCUGAUGAUCCAGCGGAUGCGUAGCAGCCUGACGAACCGGCUGAGGCGUGGGAGUCUGAUGAUCCAGCGGAUGCGUAGCAGCCUGACGAACCGGCAGAGGCGUGGGAGUCUGAUGAUCCAGCGGAUGCGUAGCAGCCUGACGAACCGGCAGAGGCGUGGGAGUCUGAUGAUCCAGCGGAUGCGUAGCAGCCUGACGAACCGGCAGAGGCGUGGGAGUCUGAUGAUCCAGCGGAUGCGUAGCAGCCUGACGAACCGGCUGAGGCGUGGGAGUGUGAUGAUCCAGCGGAUGCGUAGCAGCCUGACGAACUGGCUGAGGCCUGACGUGGGAUGGGCGCCUUGCCACGCCAACCGGAGCAAGAAACCUCUCGAGCCAGCUAGGGCAUGACAGCCCGACAAGCUGGCUUAGUCACCCACGGUUCCAUCGGUGGCGGCCCCCCGACCCGACUUCACCACCAACCGGAAAGCCAGCACCCCCCGAUUGGUGGCUGCUGUAUUCUACAGCUCUUACAGAAUUACCCACCAUACCAGGACCAAGCAGCGGAGGAUAUCUGGCGAGGACCGGGGAACACGGCUGGUAAGGGAACCCGAGAGGCAGCCCCAAUAAUUUUUUUGGGGGGGGCACAAGGGCAGUUUGGCAGGGCGAGGAUGGAGCCCCAGGCCAGCUCCCCGCACUAGCCCUGAGGUGCGUCAGCCCAGUCUGACUCGGCCUGUUCCUGCUCCCCGCACUAGCCCUAAGGUGCGUGUGCCCAGACUGGCACAUCCUGUACCAGCCCCACGCAUCAGGCAUCUAGUGCGUCAGCCCAGCCUCGCCAGUCAGGAGCCGCCAGAGCCGCCCGCCAGUCAGGAGCUGCCAGAGUGGCCCGUCUGCCCGGAGCUGCCAGAGUGGCCCGGAGCUGCCAGAUUGGCCCGUCUGCCCGGAGCUGCCAGAGUGGCCCGUCUGCCCGGAUCAGCCAGAGUGGCCCGUCUGCCCGGAUCAGCCAGAGUGGCCCGCCUGCCCGGAUCAGCCAGAGUGGCCCGCCUGCCCGGAUCAGCCAGAGUGGCCCGCCUGCCCGGGUCAGCCAGAGUGACCCGCCUGCCCGGAUCAGCCAGAGUGGCCCG
rnacentral:lncRNA from 1 species